UUAAUGGAGAGUUUGAUCCUGGCUCAGGACGAACGCUGGCGGCGUGCCUAAUACAUGCAAGUCGAGCGGAGUUGAUGAGGUGCUUGCACUUCUGAUACUUAGCGGCGGACGGGUGAGUAACACGUAGGUAACCUGCCCGUAAGACUGGGAUAACUACCGGAAACGGUAGCUAAUACCGGAUAAUUUAUUUUCUCGCAUGAGAGAAUAAUGAAAGGCGGAGCAAUCUGCCACUUACGGAUGGGCCUGCGGCGCAUUAGCUAGUUGGUGAGGUAACGGCUCACCAAGGCGACGAUGCGUAGCCGACCUGAGAGGGUGA
rnacentral:rRNA from 1 species